UGGAAGACUAGUGAUUUUGUUGUUUUCUCUAUUGAUGUGACAACAAGUCAUAGUCUGCCACA
rnacentral:pre_miRNA from 1 species